UCGCACAAAUCGAGAAGUAGUAAUUUUUCCUUUUAACAAAAGAGUUGGUCUACAUUCUAUCACUCAUCUUUCUUCCCUUUUCCAUAAUCUACAGAUAAUAUGUACAGUAACACUGAGAUUGUACCUAGAACAAAGAAGGAAAAAUCUUGUUAAAAUUCACAAUUCGGCUUUCAAGUAACAUCAAUGGGUUCACUUACUACAAAUACUACUAUUGCCACUGCCUGUAGGAAAUUUGGUGAUCCAAACUGUUCACCAAGGUCCCCUAUAUUGUGCUCUGGGUUUAAAAACAAUGUAAGAGCAUUUGCAAGUCAAAAGUCGGUUAAGAAAUCAAGAAAAAAAGGGAAAACAGAGAAAACGGAUGCUGCAAUACCCGAUAAGUAUCUGUUAAGUGAUGAUGUUAAUCCAGAUUAUGUUGAAGAUAGAAAGAAUACAUCUCCUCUUGACACUUCAAAUGCUGAGACUUCUGUGCUGAUGAUCCCAUCUAGAGGUUCUGUGCUUCAGGCAUGCGUAAUCACUUCUGGUUUAAUCGGUCUUGUAGGUGUUGUAAUUAGAGAGGUUUCUCAUGUUGCAUCAGCAGGAGGAUUGCCAAUUGUUGACUGCUCUGUUGAAAUACCAUUGACUUUCCAGAUGUGCCAUCUUCAGUUGAUUACGGGAUUGGUCACAUUGGUAUCCUCUUGUCGGUACUUACUGCUGAAGAUAUGGCCAGAUUUUGCCGAGUCUAGUGAAGCAGCAAAUAGCCAGGUCUUGAGUUCACUUGAGCCUUUGGAUUACAUAGUGGUGUCACUUCUUCCAGGCAUUAGUGAGGAGAUUCUUUUCCGUGGUGCAUUGCUACCAGUUUUUGGCAUCAAUUGGCAGAGUGUUGUGGCAGUUGCUUCCAUAUUUGGGAUAUUACACUUGGGCAGUGGUCGGAAAUACUCCUUUGCUGUCUGGGCCACAUUUGUUGGAAUUGCAUAUGGUUAUGCUACAAUUUUAUCAUCAACUGUUGUUGUGCCAAUGGCUGCUCAUGCUGUAAAUAACCUAGUAGGAGGCAUCAUCUGGCGCUACACAUCAAAUUCGUCAAAAUAGAUGGAUUCCGGAAACCAUGAUGAAGUUUCUCACAAUCGCCUCGGUUCUUUUUCUGUUAGCCUUCAUAACUUGUGUGGAGGUUGAUGCUAUAGCAAAUGGCCAACCACCACUUGUCGUCAGUCGUCUGCAGCAUGGACGGGCGUUAGAUAUUAUUGUUUACCCAUGCGUCACGACCAUUUGCGCAAAAGCCUGCUGUGACUGCAACAUAGAGGUGAUUCCCCCAGUGUGCACCCAGUGCUGUUCCGAAGACUGAUGAAUUUGCAAGUAAAAAAGAGUCAUUUUGGAAUUCUUUUGAUAUACCCCUUUUUACUUUUUAGAAUGGAAUAUGCUUACAAGAUCUGUCAAAGAUCUUUUCUUCAUUACUAAUAUAUAUGUCAUUUCUGAGUUAUUAUUGUUGAAGAACAUUGCAAAUUAUUACUUAUUCAGAACAAAAAAAUAUUUCUGCAGUAUUAUGAGCUCCAAUCUGGCAUUAACCUUUUCAA